AUUUAAUUUUCAUUCUCAUAAAAUGAUUUUCAUUUCAUUACUUUCAACCAAAUAACUACAAAAUAAAAAUAAAAACUUCCAUUUUCGUUCCUACUAUUCUGUUCAUUAUUAUAAACACCACCUAAAUCUCUGUCCCAAUUAAGCGAAGCACAAGUUUACAGCGAAUGCGUACAAAAGAACGAAGAGAGAAGAAAUGACUAGUCUGUACCGCUCAAGUUGGUGGAGUUGAAAACAAGGGAUUGCUGCAAUUUGGAGGUUCUUGGGAUAUCUGGCAGUGAAUGUCGCCAUAUUUGUAAAGAUCAGUGGGCCAAAAGUAGAGACUGGUUUUUUCCUAAAACCUCCCAGUGUUAACGAAGUAUCUCUUGGGAUUCGUUUUUGUGACUACAUUGUAUCUGAGAUACGUCAGCUGUCAAGUUAACUUUGACAGCCACAAACUCUUCAGGGGAGCCUGGACAGCACUCCUGCAUCAAGCUCAGGUGCUUGAUCUUUACAUUCCUGAGCUAAGCGAUGUAACGCACACGGAAAUUAAGGUUAAUAUAUGUUAUUCCCACAGCCUUCUCUGUUCUGCUGGCUCCUUUCUUGCAAAGAUUUACGUUGUUGAAGGUUAGUUUCUUGCUAGUCUAGAUAUGAUUUUAGCUAAGUUUUCGAGCAUUUGCUCCAUAGAAAAGAUAACAAUGAGAGUGACUUUGUAAGGAUUUCAUUGUCAAAACUCUCUUAAAUGUCAUCACAGCAUUAGCAUGUGAGAGGAAGCUUGUGUUUUGCCAUUAUAACAUGGUACACAGUUGUCUUUAACUAUGGGUGCUCUCCACAUUGUAGUUCAUGUUUUUAUUACCCAAAGCAGCAUGAAUUGUGUAUGUCAAGUAAUUGCUUAUCUUAGAACCAAGAGAUAAAAAAGAGGCACCAGGUAAUAGUUUCCCGUGUAAAAGUGUACAAGCCAAGAUUUCUCCAUAGAUUAAACAGCAAUCAAUACAGUUUUUCUUAGGAACUCCGUCCAUAUGAUGAAAGUCGAAGGCAGAUUCACUCAGUAAAAGGGACAGUAAACAAAACAGGCAAAGUAGCCCAAUGAAAAGGGCUUGUU